CAGCUGCCGUCCCGCCAACGGCCGAGCGCGUGGCGGGCCUCGAGGGGUGCGGCGCCGAAGUCUCGCGGGGAAGGGGGAGGGGCGGGCGUCCCUCUUCCCCCCCUCCCGGGGAGCCGGUGACAGGUGGAGCGGCGCGCGCCCCGCGGCGGUCACGUGGCGUGGGGGCAGGGCGGGCGCCGCGGCGGGAAGGGUUCGGGGCGCCGCGCGGGAGCGCUCUGGCGACGCCGGCUCGGCCCGCGGGCGUGAGGGAGGGGGAGCCCUCGGCGAAGGGGGCCCCGCGGUCCUUUGCUCCCGGCCGCGCCUUGUUUCAGAAGGCUCCGUGGCAGCCCGGGGACGUGGAGCGGUAGGCAGGGGUGGGGGGGGCUGGCUCUUAGAAAAGCACGAGGGACCUGAGUCGGGCUUUCCGGAACGUUUCAUGCCCUCACCUACACACUGAACAAGAAGAGAAGCAAAGGUUGCAGGAACUCCACAGGGACAUACUCAGGCAAACGAGCAAAUGCUAGUAAAAAAUUAUCCUCUGGGAUCUCUCUGAGAGAGAGAAAUGGAGCCACUGAAAGCUGGCCCUACGAACUGCUAUAGGGUUUGCAACUGCACCAACAGUUGUGAAACCGAAAAUGGCUAGCCAACAGAUCUAACUGUAUUAGUCUAAGCACCUUCUCCCUUUUCAUUACCUGGAGAAUAUCUGCUAUAGGAACCACAUCUUGCAUGCAUACACUUAGGCAUAAAUCCAGACUGACAAGAAUCAGGAAGAUCUGAAAUAUCUAGACAACAUGAACAUUUUCUAAGGGAUACUGUGGAAGACUUAACUGGGUUGCCUUGUGUCUAGUCUGGGCUUCUUGGUAAGACACAGGAAGGCAGCUUUGUUAGAUGUUGGCAUGCCUCUUUCUAUUGCUAAUUAUAAGGACCACAUAACAUACUCCACACUCUUUUCUUUCAACAACCUGCUAAUGUUAGAAAAAAGGUUUUAAUUCACGUAGGAAUAAAAGUCAACAAGCUUUUCA
rnacentral:lncRNA from 1 species